GAUGAACGCUAGCUACAGGCUUAACACAUGCAAGUCGAGGGGAAACGACAUCGAAAGCUUGCUUUUGAUGGGCGUCGACCGGCGCACGGGUGAGUAACGCGUAUCCAACCUGCCCAUCACUUGGGAAUAACCUUGCGAAAGUAAGACUAAUACCCAAUGAUAUCCCACGAAGGCAUCGGAAUGGGAUUAAAGAUUUAUCGGUGAUGGAUGGGGAUGCGUCUGAUUAGCUUGUUGGCGGGGUAACGGCCCACCAAGGCAACGAUCAGUAGGGGUUCUGAGAGGAAGGUCCCCCACAUUGGAACUGAGACACGGUCCACACUCCUACGGGAGGCAGCAGUGAGGAAUAUUGGUCACUGGGCGAGAGCCUGAACCAGCCAAGUAGCGUGCAGGAAGACGGCCCUAUGGGUUGUAAACUGCUUUUAUAAGGGAAUAAAGUGGGUCACGUGUGACUUUUUGCAUGUACCUUAUGAAUAAGGACCGGCUAAUUCCGUG
rnacentral:rRNA from 1 species